UUCCAGUAACACCUUAGAGACCAACAAACUUAGUUAUUGGUGUGAGCUUUCGUGUGCAUGCACAGAUACUGAAGAAGUGUGCAUGCACAUGAAAGUUCACACCAGUAACAAACUUAGUUGGUCUCUAAGGUGCUACUGGAA